AUUGAACGCUGGCGGCAGGCCUAACACAUGCAAGUCGAACGGUAACAGGAAACAGCUUACUGUUUCGCUGACGAGUGGCGGACGGGUGAGUAAUGUCUGGGAAACUGCCUGAUGGAGGGGGAUAACUACUGGAAACGGUAGCUAAUACCGCAUAACGUCGCAAGACCAAAGAGGGGGACCUUCGGGCCUCUUGCCAUCGGAUGUGCCCAGAUGGGAUUAGCUAGUAGGUGGGGUAACGGCUCACCUAGGCGACGAUCCCUAGCUGGUCUGAGAGGAUGACCAGCCACACUGGAACUGAGACACGGUCCAGACUCCUACGGGAGGCAGCAGUGGGGAAUAUUGCACAAUGGGCGCAAGCCUGAUGCAGCCAUGCCGCGUGUAUGAAGAAGGCCUUCGGGUUGUAAAGUACUUUCAGCGGGGAGGAAGGGAGUAAAGUUAAUACCUUUGCUCAUUGACGUUACCCGCAGAAGAAGCACCGGCUAACUCCGUGCCAGCAGCCGCCGUAAAAC
rnacentral:rRNA from 1 species